AUUGAACGCUGGCGGCAGGCUUAACACAUGCAAGUCGAGCGGGGUGAUGGUGCUUGCACUAUCACUUAGCGGCGGACGGGUGAGUAAUGCUUAGGAAUCUGCCUAUUAGUGGGGGACAACAUCCCGAAAGGGAUGCUAAUACCGCAUACGUCCUACGGGAGAAAGCAGGGGAUCACUUGUGACCUUGCGCUAAUAGAUGAGCCUCAGUCGGAUUAGCUAGUUGGUGGGGUAAAGGCCUACCAAGGCGACGAUCUGUAGCCGGUCUGAGAGGAUGCUCCGCCACACUGGGACUGAGACACGGCCCAGACUCCUACGGGAGGCAGCAGUGGGGAAUAUUGGACAAUGGGGGUAACCCUGAUCCAGCCAUGCCGCGUGUGUGAAGAAGGCCUUAUGGUUGUAAAGCACUUUAAGCGAGGAGGAGGCUCUUUUGGUUAAUACCCAAGAUGAGUGGACGUUACUCGCAGAAUAAGCACCGGCUAACUCUGUGCCAGCAGCCGCAGUAA
rnacentral:rRNA from 1 species